rnacentral:rRNA from 1 species
UACGUAGGGUGCGAGCGUUGUCCGGAAUUACUGGGCGUAAAGAGCUCGUAGGUGGUUUGUCGCGUUGUCCGUGAAAACUCACAGCUCAACUGUGGGCGUGCGGGCGAUACGGGCAGACUGGAGUACUGCAGGGGAGACUGGAAUUCCUGGUGUAGCGGUGAAAUGCGUAGAUAUCGGGAGGAACACCAGUGGCGAAGGCGACUACCUGGCCUGUUCUUGACGCUGAGGCGCGAAAGCUAGGGGAGCAAACGGG